AAGGAAAUAAGAACUGGCACCUGAGGCAGCAGCGGCAAUCUGCUCGGUCCCCUUCCAAGCUGUGGAAGCUUUGUUCUUUCGCUCUUCACAGUAAGUCUUGCUGCUGCUCACUCUUUGGGUCCACACUACCUUUAUGAGCUGUAACACUCACCACGUGGGUCUGCAGCUUUAUUCCUGAAGUCAGCGAGACCACGAACCCACCAGGAGGAACAAACAACUCUGGACACGCCAGCUUUAAGAGCUGUAACGCUUACUGCGAAGGUCUGUGGCUUCAUUCCUGAAGUCAGUGAGACCAUGAACCCACUGGAAGGAAGUAACUCUGGACACAUCUGAACAUCUGAAGGAACAAACUCCAGACACACCAUCUUUAAGAGCUGUAACACUCAUUUUGAAGGUCUGUGGCUUCACUCCUGAAGUCAGCGAGACCACAAACCCACUGGAAGGAAGAAACUGCGGACACAUCUGAACAUCUAAGGAACAGACUCUGGACACACUAUCUUUAAGAACUGUAAUGCUCACCGCGGCUUCAUUCUCGAAGUCAGCACGACCAAGAACCCACUGGAAGGAACCAAUUCCGGACACAUGGGGAUUACAGGCAUGAGCCACUGUGCCCGGCCCCAUAAACAUUUUUUUAAAAAAGUCUUUUGGUAGAUACAGUGUUGGUGCUAAUUCCUCUAGUUGCUAACACCAAAGCAACAACAUUGCUAACCAUGCCUACUAAAGAUUCUGCUGUUGUUCCUGGUCUAUGCUGAAAUUCCACAUCAAGGACCCUGACAUCUACAUCAAGGUUCUCCUGCAGAGAAGAAUAUCAUGUGAAAUAUUGAUAAAGUUCUUCCAAGAACAGCAUAAUUGUUGCGAUGCUUAAAGAAGUCUUUAAAACUAAGAUUGUAUUUUCUCUGGCUAAACAGCAAAGGUAUGUGAGAUUCUGAAAGAGGUAUAUUAAAGUCUCAGCAUGAAAGCAUAAAGGUUCCUGCCAAGAAAUAUGACUGAGCCCAAUUAAGGGCAACACAUGUUCCUUGGCCUCAAGGGAAACUCUAGAAGCAAUGAAAAUAGAAACUUUAAAGGCAGUGAAAAACAUGGGAUAAAUGACGAGGAAACUGAGGCAUGGAGCAGUCCACGUGAAUGAGUCUCGUAGUAAGUGAUGGAACUAGGAUGCAACUCUCUGGUGUGAGUGCCCCACUCUGAGAGGCUUGGUCAGGAUUUGUGUAGAAAGUGCACAGCAGAACUGAGCCUAUGCAUUCCAAGUCCUGAGUACCCCUACAAAGGAAGAGGACACAAACGAAAAAUAUUCCCUCAUACCAAGGAUUGUCCUGAAAUCCAAGACCAUAUUUUAUGAGAAGACAUACAUCAGAGAGAGAGAGAUUACAGUAUGCAAUCUCUCAGCUGCCAACAGAACACAGAUGGGCUUGGGAACAGAGAAUGAUCCAGAUCUGCAGGACUGGAGCAAUCCGUGGGAAGUUUGGACAGAAGAUCUGAUGCAUAAGACAGUAAAGGACUAUUGAAUGUUCCAUGAUAGAUAUGCUUGUUCUUUUGCCUGCAUGCCCUUGAAUAAAGACAUUUUGAUCUCCAGGACCAACCUGAGAAACAUAUAAUUUAAUCUAGUUUUGAAAGAAGAGCCCUGCUACACAAAUACUGGCUCACAAUGUUAAGAGAUAUCAACUGAAAUAUCAAAGGGCUUUCAUAUUUCAUUAAAUUGACUAUCCUAUGUGUUUGAUAUUUCCAUUUAAUUGAAUAUUUCUUAACUCAGUGAAAAAUGUAUGAGCCUGCUGUGAUAAAUUCAGUGUCGCAUAUGGGAAUUUCAACUGUCUUUGAUUGAAUCUUAUUUCUUGAUAUCUCACCUUUCAGAAGAGAGAUACAAAAAGACUGUUAGCCUGCUUGCUUCUGUUUUUUCUGCCCCAUCUCCACCCUUAUUCCCAAACUGUGGUUCACACAUUUAUUUCUAUUUUUAAAAAUUUUCAUCAUUCUCAGUAAACUAUCGCAAGAACAAAAAACCAAACACCGCAUAUUCUCACUCUUAGGUGGGAAUAAUAACAUAAAUUUGUAUCCAUAAGCAUAAUAGGACAUUUAAUAAUCCUUGUUACAUCUAUUGAUGAACAUAUUCUGUAAUGUCAUUUGGUCUUGUGCCAAAUAGAAACUAUAAAAAUAUAAUGAGCUUUUUGUCAAAAACUGUUAUGUAAGGCCUUGGAAGUUUCUAGUAGUUCAGUGCUUUCUAUUCCAUUCACGUUUUUGUUGAAAUAAAAUGGAAAAGAAAA